GUCUACGGCCAGGCCACCCUGAGCAAGCCUGAUGUCUGAUCUUGGAAGCUAAGCAGGAUUGGGCCUCGUUAGUACUUGGAUGAGAGACCACCUAGGAAGACCAGGUGCUGUAGGCA
rnacentral:rRNA from 1 species